rnacentral:misc_RNA from 1 species
GAUAGACCCCCAGAGAUGCAGAGUGUGCGCCUCUAGUAAGAGUAUGAACACCGUUGAUCGAUUCAAUCAGCCAUAUCUAAUAGGGAAAUAAAAGUACUGCGGUUGAAAAUUACAAACGAGCUGUAAGAAUUAAUUCCGCAAACCUCCACUACGAGUCUCCACUAGUUUUGUUCGAAAAGUUAGUGAGUUGAGCUAGUCUAUGACACAUGGCCCAUGAUUUUUCACUUUUCAGCUUCUUUCUUCUUUUUCUGAAUAAACAGAAAAAAAGGUGAACUAGCAAUACAACUCGAUAGUUGGUCAGAGAUAAUCUUACUUUCAGCUGAUAUAACUAAACAUUGCACUAUAUAUUAAGUGUUUAUUUUUCGCAGCGCACGUGCAACGGUGCACACGUGCAGUGUGGCAGUGUGUCAGUGUGUCGUUGACGUGAAUUUGUAUUUGAUAUAUGUAAUUCUGUGCGUCCAUAAUGAGCUAUAAAGACAAUUUUAACGUUUUCGUCGGUGGAAAGUCGGGUGUUUUUAAAGGAAUUAAAAUUGAGAAGAAGGCGAAUGUAAUAAAAAAUAUACAGGACUUGGUCUCGAUAAGAGAAAACGAUCAGAUCACCACCAUUUCGUGGAGUAACGAAGAUGAAAAAGAUGUUCUAAUCGCAUGUGGUGUGAAAGAGGAUAAGAGAAUAAAGGUUUAUGACUCUGAGAGCUCUGAAUUUACAUGCUCAUUUCCUUGUAACACGGGCAAAGGAAGCAUAAAUGGGCUAUCACGAUACAAUGAAUCGAUCCUAACAGCUGUUAAAUCUGGUGAGGUAAGCUCGUGGCCGUUUAAUGGGAAGGAAGAGAUAUUGGUAAAUGCUGGAGAGAAUCUAGAUAAAAUGUGUCACUCGCGUGUGCAGAAGAAUAUAAUAGCAACUGGGGGAUUGGAAAAUAGGCUGAAAUUGUUUGACCUGGAGAAACGAACGUUAAUAUUUAGCGAAAAAAAUCUUUCUCACGAUUGGUUGGAGUUAAGAAUACCUAUCUGGAUAUCAGACUUGAACUUCCUACCGGCAACUCAACAAAUAGUCACAGCCGGUAGAUAUGGACAUAUACGCUUGUAUGAUCCGCGUGCACAAAGACGUCCUGUGAUAAAUACAACGAUUCAAGACGAAGCUUUAACUUGCCUGUGCAUUACACCCGCAGAAAGGCAUAUCAUAGUAGGUUCAGGCAAAGGACGGAUGAAUCUCGUUGAUCUGAGAAAAUCGGGCACUAUACUAAACACAUAUAAGGGAUUUGCUGGUGGUGUAACCGGAGUGGCUUGUAGCAUGAGUAAUCCAUACGUUGCGAGCGUUAGUCUCGACAGGUAUCUACGAAUACAUCACGUCGACACGAAAGAAGUCUUGAAAAAGAUUUAUUUAACGUCCAAGUUGACGUGUUUGGUAGUGAGAUCAGAUUUCUCCAUAGAAAGUAUAAUUGAUGAUAAACAGAAAGUAGUAGAGCUGCAUUGCGAUAAUAUCGACAAGCGAUCUUGCGGAAAUGAGGUGGCCAGCGAAGAAGAAUACGACGAACUGUUCAACAAAAUGGAAGCGGUAGAUAGUGAGCGCGUAGAAUUCAAUAAAAGACGGAAACGCAUUAAACUGACGCAAGAGGAGCGGUCAUCGAUCGAGCGUGAUAGGUCCCAAGAUUCGACAAAAACAAGGAACAGGAAGAACAGAAAAGAGAUUAAGCAAGAAAGACUUAAUAAGGAACGAAGACUGAAGAGAAGCUAAACAUUUCCUUCGACAAUUUCUACGUGCUCUCAACAAGUAACAAGUCGUGUCGAAGCCAAGUACGCGGUAUAUGCUGCACAGGCUACAGCGUAAUCCUUAAUAACUUUAUCAAGUAGAAGGAGUGAGAACGUGGCAACAAUUCGCAAGGUUGCGGCGUAUUUUGUACUAAAGAAGAAACGAUGCUCGCGACUACAGCACAUUAAAUGGACAUAUUCCAUUUUCUUCAACAAAGAGAUUAUUUACGUGAUUUCCAAACAAAAUUACUCUGGGUGGUUAGGUGGCUAACUCAACUAUAUAGAAUCAACAAUUGUUUUGAAAGAAUGUUUCGCUCAAUGACACUCAUCGGCAGCAUCUCCACAAAAAUGCACGUGAUCCAUCUUGGAGCUUUCUAUGCUCAAAAAAAAUCGUAAUGUAAAACUUAUAAUCAAUAAAAUCCUCUUCCUCGC